UCCAACAAGCUUUUUAGCUUUGAUUAUUAUUUUGUACACCAAAUUAGUUAUUGAUAUUAAUUUCAGAGUUUGAAAUUAUGAACAAGCCUCAAAAAUACGCUACUCCAUUCCCCGCCCAAGGUUAUUAUCCUCCUCCAGUGAUGCCUCCCCCAACAUAUGCUGCUCCUCCACCUCGCAAAAAUACAGGUUUUUUAAGGGAUGCCUGGCAGCAUUGUGUUGUUGUUGCCUCCUAGAUGAGUGUUGCUGUGACCCCUCAGAUGUGUUUUUUCUCUGCUAAAAUUCAAUCACACGGAGACAAGUUUUUUGUUUUUUUAAUUUGUUAUGAUGAGAUGAAUUUUAUACAAAAUAAAUUCUCUUAGGAUAAACCUUGUUGUAUAAAUUUUGAGAAAUUACACAAACUUUCAAAAUAUUAGUCUAAACAGGUACAAAAAACUUCUAUUAAAACAACUUCCACCAUAAUGAAUGAAAGGUAGAACUCGUCAGA